rnacentral:rRNA from 1 species
UACGUAGGUGGCGAGCGUUGUCCGGAAUUACUGGGCGUAAAGGGUGCGUAGGCGGUAUCUUAAGUCAGAUGUGAAAUUCCGGGGCUCAACUUCGGAACUGCAUUUGAAACUGGGGUGCUAGAGUGCAGGAGAGGAAAGCGGAAUUCCUAGUGUAGCGGUGAAAUGCGUAGAUAUUAGGAAGAACACCAGUGGCGAAGGCGGCUUUCUGGACUGUAACUGACGCUGAGGCACGAAAGCGUGGGGAG